UACAGAGGGUGCAAGCGUUGUUCGGAAUUAUUGGGCGUAAAGCGCGUGUAGGCGGCUUUGCAAGUCGGGUGUGAAAGCCCUCAGCUCAACUGAGGAAGUGCGCCCGAAACUGCAGAGCUUGAGUGCCGGAGAGGGUGGCGGAAUUCCCCAAGUAGAGGUGAAAUUCGUAGAUAUGGGGAGGAACACCUGUGGCGAAGGCGGCCACCUGGAAGACAACUGACGCUGAGACGCGAAAGUGUGGGGAGCGAACAGG
rnacentral:rRNA from 1 species